rnacentral:lncRNA from 1 species
AAUGUCAAUUCAAAUCCCGGUGGAGAAAGGGUGGUUGAAUAUCAGCUUACAACCUCGUCCGGAAAACCUAAGGGCAAAAUCAAGUUUUCGUAUAAAUUUGGGGAGAAAUUCACGCAACAAGUGGAGACAAAAAAGCAUGUGGAUGAGCCUAUGACUGCGUAUCCAGCGCCACCACCACAUGUUGCCGGAGGAAGCAUGCCGCCUCAUCAGGGAACGGGAUACGGUGCUCCCCCUCCUGGGAUGGCAUAUCAACAAUAUCCUCCUCAUCCGGGGUAUGGCUAUCCACCACCAGGUGGGUACCCGCCUCCUGGAUACGGUUAU